CUUAAAUAAUAAUCUUGGAAUAUGGUAAUUAACUUCCAUAAAAUAAAUUUAAACAAAGCAUUUAAAUCUAAAAAUAAUAAUAAUAAAUUAUAUAAAAAUUAAACUAUUAACUAUUUAAAAAUAAAGUAUAUAUUCUUUAUAUAAAAAUUGUAUCGAAUGUAGACUUUAGUUAUAUAUGAUGUCAUUGUGAAGUGGAGUGAUGUAUCUAUGUUUAUAUUUAAUGCAAGAAACGGCUACCCAAUGGCCGGGCAAGGUGCAAACUAGGAGCUUAGCUUCAACGAAAUUUUGGCUCAAUAACUAGUGGCGUAUGUGUUUAUGUGCGUAGAAUAGUAUUUAGAUAACGAAUAACUGAAGCAUGAAAGCUAUCACAUUCCAUAAGUUUCAUUUUUUUCUUUUUGCUUAUUUUGAUGUGCUUCGUUUGGUUAUUAAUUCAAUUUCUGUUUAAUUCUUCGGAUUAUAAUGGAAAAACUAUCUACAAAAAAAAUAAUAAUAAUUUUAAUAUAAUUCUACCUAUACAUAAGAAACAAAAAAAGUAUAAUUCCAGCGAUAAUCGAAUAAAAAAAAUAUCAAUCGUGUGUUUAAAUCCAAAAUAUAUACUUGUAUAUCUUGAUAUGGCUUCCUACAUUUAUCAACUUUAACACAAUAUAUGUAAUAUUUAUGUUUCA
rnacentral:lncRNA from 1 species